rnacentral:sRNA from 1 species
AACCAGUGAGGCGCGGGCCAACCUAGUGCGACGUGUGGGCGUGGCGGGGGCUGGGGUCUGCGGGCGAAGGUGGCAGCCCAUUGGAGGUCCCGGGAGCGAAGUCCAGCUGCCGUUAGGCGCUGGGAUAGUCGCACGCUGGAUGCAUCUACGUCCGCCGAGCCCCUGGGGCGAAGAGGCCGCGUCCGCCUUCAGUUGUGGCCGGUGCUUCGCCCCCUGACCCUUCGCCCCCAAAGACCAGCUCUAACGUGAGCGCCUCGGCCGCCCUGCCCCAGCCUCGUACACGCCGCCAGCCUCGCCCAGCCGGUGUCCGGAGACCCUCGGGCCGUGUCCAUUUGUGGGCAAAGCCAGCGGGGCAGGCUUGGCCAGAGUGCACCACUCGGCGCCGUCCCAGGCCCGACGCUCUGGGCGCGCCCGGAACCCCAGGUUAAUUUGGAGUGGCCCCUGGAGUCAGUCUCCUACACCAUCCGAGGCCCCACCCAGCACGAGCUACAGCCUCCACCAGGAGGGCCUGGAACCCUCAGCCUGCACUUCCUCAACCCUCAGGAAGCUCAGCGGUGGGCAGUCCUAGUCCGAGGUGCCACCGUGGAAGGACAGAAUGGCAGCAACAGCAACUCACCACCAGCCUUGGGCCCAGAAGCAUGCCCUGUCUCCCUGCCCAGUCCCCCGGAAGCCCCCACACUCAAGGGCCCUCAACCUGAGGCAGAUCUUCCUAGGAGCCCUGGCAACUUGACGGAGAGAGAAGAGCUGGCAGGGAGCCUGGCCCGGGCUAUUGCAGGUGGAGACGAGAAGGGGGCAGCCCAAGUGGCAGCCGUCCUGGCCCAGCAUCGUGUGGCCCUGAGUGUUCAGCUUCAGGAGGCCUGCUUCCCACCUGGCCCCAUCAGGCUGCAGGUCACACUUGAAGACGCUGCCUCUGCCGCAUCCGCCGCGUCCUCUGCACACGUUGCCCUGCAGGUCCACCCCCACCGCACCGUUGCAGCUCUC